GCCGUGAUAGCUCAGUCGGUAGAGCGCAUCCAUGGUAAGGAUGAGGUCCCGGGUUCAAGUCCCGGUCGCGGCUCCA
rnacentral:tRNA from 1 species